rnacentral:lncRNA from 1 species
CUGGUUCUCAUGGGGGACUUCAAUUAUCCAGACAUCUGUUGGGUAAGCAACUCGUCCAGGCAUGCGCAGUCCAAACGGUUCCUACAAUGCGUUGAAGAUAAGAGUUUAUUCUAAAGCUAACAGAGACUGAUUUUAAAGUGCAUGGAUUACUUUAAUUUCAAAAUUUUUCUGACUUUGCAGUAGAUGUACUUAUUUAUACCAUCACAGGCAUUUAGUGUUUCUUGGGAUUAACUGUUUUGAGUAAUCUGAUUUUUGUUAUUGUUAGCUAUACUUACUUCUGUUCUAUGUUUUCGAUUUCAGGUUUUGAGCAGAAAGAGAUAUACAUUAUAAAGAAUGAUAUUUUUGUACACAGACAUUGCUUUUUGUUGUUGUAUGUAUAACCAUUAGAAGAAAAAAAAAUCUCAAAAUAUUUCUGUUGAGCUUUUAGUAAUUAAAUGAAGUCUGUAAUACUUUGGCGCUGACAAUUAUUGUUUGCUUUUGUGCUUCAGGGGCAGGUCUGAAUAUGGAGAACAAACUUUAUUGGUAAGAGAUUUAAUAUGCUUAAAAGAAGGCUCUGUAUAUGACAAGAAGCAUUUCUUCAGGCAGCUUACAUUUACUGCCAGGAUUUCUACAACCUGUUCAAUUAGAAACAUUAGAAGAUUUACGUUCUUCCUAAAAUGGCCACCAAAAUGUUAGUAAACAAGGAGCUAGUACAAUCACGAAAGAUGAAUUCUCUGUAUGAUGAACUGUGAACUACUGGUUUCAGUUUACAUUUAAGCUGUGAUUCUGAACACAUGCCUUUACAUCUGAUGGGGGUGACAACAAUGAUUCUGCCUCUAGAUCAGAAGCACAUUUUUAGGUACAAUGGGCCAACUGGUGCGCUGCCUCCUCAAGUUUAUCUAGAGCUUCCAUCUGGUCAAGGUGCAGUCAUUAAGGGCAACAGUUUCCCAGCAAUGCAGUUAACUCUAUAUUGCUGCUUGAAGAGGUAAGUAAACCAACCUUCCAUAACCAUACUAUUGCACAUGGUAAAUCUCUGAGAACACCACUCCAUUUCCAUUUCUCUUAGAACCCCCAGUCACAGCAUCCUUAGCAUUUUCUAGGCUGCAGGUUUGGGCCUUAAAAUGUAGUAUACCAACAAUAUUCACAAAAUAUAUAUUUUAAACUGGGCAAGUAUCUGAUUACAGGGAAAAAUGCAAAGAAUAUUCCCCUUCUGAGUGACUACUGUCUCAUUGCAGCUAGGACUCAGCUAAUAAAGUUUUUAUAUUAAGGAAGUUAUAAUUUGCU